UUGAAAGGGAAACGAUUGAAGUCAGUCAUGCUAGUGAAAAAUCACUUUGACGGGUUUUGAGUUUUUGAGUAGAGGGCAGGGUCAAACCGUUUUCUUUUUGGGCCUUGGGAUUUGUUAGAUGUACUUUUUCUUUGGCAGGUCAACGUCGGUUUCGGGGGUUGUAAAAUACUUGGGGGAAAGUAGCUCUGCUUCGGGAGAGUGUUAUAGACCCUGGGAGAUGCAGCCUGUGGGAUCGAGGAUUGCAGCAAAUGCCUUUUGGCUUGUCGCCUGUUCCUGGGUGUUACCUGUCUUGUGACAACAUUCUUGCCACCGGGGAGUACUAAUGCCUACUGUUUAGAGCGAUCGAAAAUUUCGUUAAGGAUGUUGACGUA
rnacentral:rRNA from 1 species